rnacentral:rRNA from 1 species
GCGCUUAACACAUGCAAGUCGAACGAGAAAGGGGAGCAAUCCCUGAGUACAGUGGCGUACGGGUGAGUAACACGUGGAUGAUCUACCUCUUAGUGGGGAACAUCUCUGGGAAACCGGAGUUAAUACCGCAUAAGCUCGAGAGAGGAAACGCGAAAGCGGCUGAGAGAGGAGUCCGCGGCCGAUUAGCUAGUUGGUAGGGUAAGAGCCUACCAAGGCGUAGAUCGGUAGCCGGCCUGAGAGGGCACACGGCCACACUGGCACUGAAACACGGGCCAG